AGACGGAGGAGGCUAGCGUUGUUCGGAAUUACUGGGCGUAAAGCGUGCGCAGGUUGUGAGUUAAGUCUGAUGUGAAAGCCCGGGGCUCAACCUCGGAUGUGCAUUAGAUACUGGCUCGCUGGAGGUUGGAAGAGGAGAGUGGAAUUCCCAGUGUAGAGGUGAAAUUCGUAGAUAUUGGGAAGAACACCAGUGGCGAAGGCGGCUCUCUGGUCCACACCUGACACUCAUGCACGAAAGCGUGGGGAGC
rnacentral:rRNA from 1 species